rnacentral:rRNA from 1 species
CUAAGCCAUGCGAGUCGAGAGGGUUCGGCCCUCGGCGGACUGCUCAGUAACACGUGGAUAAUUUGCCCUUAGGUGGAGGAUAAUCUCGGGAAACUGAGAAUAAUACUCCAUAGAUCUAGGAUGCUGGAAUGCACUUAGAUUGAAAGUUCCGGCGCCUAAGGAUAAGUCUGCGGACUAUCAGGUUGUAGUCAGGGUAAAGACCUGACUAGCCUACAACGGAUACGGGUUGUGAGAGCAAUAACCCGGAGACGAUAUCUGAGACACGAUAUCGGGCCCUACGGGGCGCAGCAGGCGCGAAACCUUCACACUGCGCGAAAGCGCGAUAAGGGGAUCCCAAGUGCCAGCUCGUAAGAGUUGGCUGUUUCUCUGUCUAAAAAGCAGAGAGAGUAAGGGCUGGGUAAGACGGGUGCCAGCAGCCGCGGUAA